CUGGGGGCAUCAAAUAAAUCAAUACACAAGGGAGGGGGCUGGCUGGGGGCAUCAAAUAAAUCAAUACACAAGGGUGUAUUGCAAAAAUGCACAAAGGGGGGUGGCUGGGGGGCACAAAUACACAAGGGUCAAUACACACAAACAAAGCAAUGUGGAAGGCAUUUUAUAUGGUUAUCCCAUCCUGAUGUGGGGGUCCAUGUGGCAGCAGAGCCUGCCCUGGGGUGUGUGUUUGGGUGUCAGUGUGGCAGAGCUUGCCCUGGGGUAUGUAUUUGGGUGUCAGUGUGGCAGAGCCUGCCCUGGGGUGUGUGUUUGGGUGUCAGUGUGCAGAGCCUGCCCUGGGGUGUGUGUUUGGGUGUCAGUGUGGCAGAGCCUGUCCUGGGGUGUGUGUUUGGAUAUCAGUGUGGCAGAGCCUGCUCUGGGGUAUGUGUUUGGGUGUCAGUGUGGCAGAGCCUGCCCUGGGGUAUGUGUUUGGGUGUCAGUGUGGCAGAGCCUGCCCUGGGGUAUGUGUUUGGGUGUCAGUGUGGCCUAGCCUGUCCUGGGGUGUGUGUUUGGGUGUCAGUGUGGCAGAGCCUGUCCUGAUAUGAGUUUGGUCAUCUGUUUCCUGGCACUUUACUUGCUGUAGAGGGUUAAAUAGAACUUUGUCAUUUUUAUUUAUCCAGAUUUUGUGGUCACUUCAGAGGACAAAACUUUCUAGGCCUAGAAAUCAGAGGAAAAGUAAAGGUUUUGUGUUAUUUACUCUUAUUUCAGUCUGAAUAUAUUAUUAAAAGUUAGAUGUUGGUUCAGAGUUUGUAAAACUCAAUUCUUGAUUUCAUUAUACAGGACGCUAUUCCCCUUUGGUUUCACAGGCCUUCACAGACCAAGUGCUACUCAGCUUAGUUAUAUGCAGCUGCAUGCAUUGUGGUAUCUGUGAUGCGGCGUUCAUUUGUUCGUUUGGUGACGCAGCGCUAAGAUGGUUGUGAUGCAUUAAUGGCUAAAAGUUUUGUUGAAGUUUCCAUUAUGUGUAAUCUCCUUAAUUUAUUUGGGCCUUUUUUGAUUUCUGGGAUUUUAAUAAUGUGAUAAAAAAGAA